rnacentral:rRNA from 1 species
CGCACGGGUGAGUAAUGCGUACCUGACCUACCCCGAAGUCUGGGAUAACUGGGCGAAAGUUCAGCUAAUACCGGAUACCCAGAUGACUCGCGAGUCAUCUGGAAAGAUUGAUUGCUUUGGGAUGGGUUACGUUCCAUCAGCUGGUUGGUAGGGUAAAGGCCUACCAAGGCGACGACGGAUAGCCGGCCUGAGAGGGUGGCCGGCCACAGGGGCACUGAGACACGGGCCCC